rnacentral:hammerhead_ribozyme from 1 species
ACCCGGCUGAUGAGUCCCAAAUAAGACGAAACGCGCAUCAUGGAU